CCUACGGGUGACAGCAGUGAGGAAUAUUGGUCAAUGGGCGCGAGCCUGAACCAGCCAAGUAGCGUGAAGGAUGACUGCCCUACGGGUUGUAAACUUCUUUUAUAAAGGAAUAAAGUGAGGCACGUGUGCCUUUUUGUAUGUACUUUAUGAAUAAGGAUCGGCUAACUCCGUGCCAGCAGCCGCGGUAAUACGGAGGAUCCGAGCGUUAUCCGGAUUUAUUGGGUUUAAAGGGAGCGUAGAUGGGUUGUUAAGUCAGUUGUGAAAGUUUGCGGCUCAACCGUAAAAUUGCAAUUGAUACUGGCAGCCUUGAGUAAAGUAGAGGUAGGCGGAAUUCGUGGUGGAGCGGUGAAAUGCGUAGAGAUCAGGAAGAACUCCGAUGGCGAAGGCGGCCUACUAAACGACCACUGAC
rnacentral:rRNA from 1 species